rnacentral:rRNA from 1 species
UACGUAGGGGGGCAAGCGUUGUCCGGAUUUACUGGGCGUAAAGAGCGUGUAGGCGGCCACGCAGGUCCGUUGUGAAAACUGGAGGCUCAACUUCCAGCCGUCGACGGAAACCGUGUGGCUAGAGUCCGGAAGAGGAGAGUGGAAUUCCUGGUGUAGCGGUGAAAUGCGCAGAUAUCAGGAAGAACACCAAUGGCGAAGGCAGCUCUCUGGGACGGUACUGACGCUGAGACGCGAAAGCGUGGGGAGCGAACAGG